rnacentral:lncRNA from 1 species
GACUCCGGGCGCCGCCAUCAUGUCGACGGCCAUGAACUUCGGGUCCAAGAGCUUCCAGCCGCGGCCCCCGGACAAGGGCAGCUUCCCGCUGGAUCACUUCGGUGAAUGUAAAAGCUUUAAAGAGAAAUUCAUGAAGUGUCUCCGGGACAAUAAUUUUGAAAAUGCUUUGUGCAGAAAUGAGUCAAAAGAAUAUUUAGAGUGCAGGAUGGAGAGGCAACUGAUGGCACGAGAACCCCUGGAAAAACUGGGAUUUGGAGAUUUGAUAGAUGGAAAGUCAGAGAUAAAGACGGAACCGUGAUGGGAAGAAGCCCGCAGGGCUGUGUGGGGUUGUCCGACAACCUGCCGCCCCAGCAGCUUGCUUGUAGGUACCGUGGCUCAGGAAGGGGCUUUGGUGAUGCCGCGAGGUGCCGCUUGAAAUCAACAGACACCCUUCCUGAUGGAUGCGCCUCGUGGCUGGGAGAUGGCUCGUCUUCUGAAGCUUCCAAAAGGAUUCUGGAAAACCACUGUCCCUUUUAGAUCCCAUUUUCCCCCAGGAGCGUUAGGUUUUAUCUUUAAGUUCAGGCGUGUGAUGGGGCUCCCGGGAGGUGAGGUGCCGGAUGACGUCCGCCUAGUGAGUGGGCGCCGCGGGUCCCUGUGAGAUGCUGGAGUCACAUCACGGGUUCUGCGCGCCUUUUCGGUGCAAAAGUGAUAAAUGUUCACGAAUUGUGGUCUGUUAUGUAGACAGAGAUUGUCAGGAAAACGUUUCCUAGCAAAUGGUUUUCUCUUUGUACUCAUAAAUAUAUGUGUCUUUUCUUUCUUUCUUUCUUUUUUUUAAACAAAAGUAGAGGAUAAACUUGGAAGUGGGAAGCAGUCUGGCUUUUGACGUACCUGACUUCUUGAUUUUUUUUCUGGUGAUGCACAAACACCAGGUAUCCUUCUAGUCCAGGGCAUUUUCUGAUUUGGAUCAGACGAUAUUUGUAAAACUAGAUGGUGUAAUUUUAAGAACUAUCUGCUGUAACUGAGAAACAGAUCAUCCCCCCUGUCGAUCGAUGUGCACCGUGGCCUCCAGUGCUUUUACUCCGAGGAAGCACCCGGGACCACAGCCAGCCCUGCUUCCCGGCCAGGCGUGGUCGGGGCAGCGCAUUCCCACUGAGAGCUGCCCAGGGCGCUGUCAGGACAGACCUCCUGGGGGUGCAGGCCCCGCGGUGGCGUUUCUGGGGCGCCUUGUCGUGUGGGCUCAGAACCACAGCGGAACCCCCGGACCUGCCCUGGGGGCUGCCUUCCCUGGCCCCCAGUCAGCUGGCUUUUGUCCCAGUGUGGCCAGUGCUGGGAGGAUCCAGGCGUGUCCCCGCUGGUGGGCAUAGCUGGCCCUGAUCCCCCCUGGUGACCCAGGCCGGGCUCUGGGAAACCCUCAUGCUCUGCUCCUCGGCCGUGUCCAGUUCUCUGUGUUGACGUCCCUCUGCCUCGGUCCUACGGUGGUGGCCGUACUUGGUCAGGCCCUCCCUGACGGUCCCUCUGAGGCUGGGCCCAUCUCCAUGGGGCUCCCCAGCGCCGCUGGCCACGGUGGUGGUCCAGCACCAAGCGCUUCAUCUGCGGUUUGUCACUGUUUGCGUCGGCUCUCUGUCUGUGCUUCUGAUUGUGCUGCAGGUUGUUUCCAUAUUUUUAGCUAGUUUAUGAAAAGCCAUGGUUUCUAUCACCAGUGAGCCACGAAAAUAUUUUGUGUUUUCCAACAGUGCAGCGUCGCACACGCACAAGGUUGUUUAUCGCAGCGUUGUCUGCAAUUGGAAAGCAUUUAGAGACGGGGCCCUGGGCGGCUGCAGGAAGGACUGGGGGAGAGAACGGAGCGCCCUGCGCUGCCCCAGGGGUGGCACACGGUGAGCGGGCUCCGCGGGGGAACGCACGGCCCAGAGAACGUCGCCAUGAGAGAGAGAAGGAACCAGCGCCACACCCGCGUGCUUGAGCAACAAGAAACUCCGGAAGGCAAACUGGAAACCAGUGCGGAUGGUUGCCGGCAGGUGGGGAGGUGGGGGGCAGCUCUCUGAGUGCUUCUGACUCGGAGCCAUGUUCUUGUUUUACGUGCUCAAAAGAUAAACCGGGACUUGGGGGGCCACCGUGGGACAGCGGCAGCGACCCCGAGCCCAGCCGUGUCGCAAACGCUGACUCUGCCCACAGCGGAGGGGCCGGCAGGGCGGGACUUGCCCAGGUAGCUUUGGAAAAUAGUGUUUUGACUAAAGCUAGAGGCAAAAAGACAAGAUUUGUACCCUGGUUAGUAUGUUGGUUCUUCAUGUCGACAGUGGUUCUGAGGCUGUGAGCUUUAAGGUGGAAAAAGCUGGAGCUGUGUUGUGGGUGAUGAGAGCUGGGGCUUUGGGAUCCUGGUUCUCCGACAUCUGCAAGGGCAGCGGGUAGAGAAGCAGACGUACAAGUGUGUAUGCGUGCGUGCAUGUGUUCGUACGGACGUCCCCUCGCUCUGGGCACCAAGGGACCAGGGGCAGUGACCCCUGGCAGCACGGAUCUGAGCCUCUCUCCAGCAGGAGGACCCAGGGGCAGGAAAGUCCAGAUGAGCCUGGACCCUCUUGUGUCAGAAGUAAGGCACUGCUGGAACCAUGAUGGGCUUGUCGAGAGGACAUGCGGUGGAGUUCCCAGUGGCCUGAUCGGGGACCAGUGGGGCAGCAGCAGGAAGGACUGUAAUGGGCUUUGGCUGCAGAAUCAGCUCCUACCCAGGAGUCCCCGUUGAUGGACAUAAUGCAUGGAGUAAACGUAUCGGUGCAGGAAGGGACGGCCCCUCCUCCGGAUCCCAACCCACACGGAAGGAAGGGGCGUCGGCGGCCCUGAGGCGGGCGGGCGGCGUGAUGUGGAACAGGUCUGCCUGGUCUGGAGGGCGCCCUGCCAGGCACUUGGCAAACAGCUGAGGCUUCUCAGCGUGGUUGCCUGACUGCCUGGUCCCCACAGCACCUGCCCCGACCGAUGCCCUGAGAAGGCGGCAUUGCUGCUGCCGUUGUCUUGCCAGGAGUGCCUCACCUCAGUCUAACGAGCACACGCAGACGCACCUGACAUGAGGGACGGGCUGCAGAGUGAAGAACAGCGCUCCCCAGAAGGGCCGCGUCCUGGAGGACAGAUGGAGGGGCUGCCCCGGGCCAAGGGUCCAGGGAGGCUAGGGCCACCAGGGAGCCCGAGGGCCCGCAGGUCAGUCACAGCACUUCUUGUCCUGUGCUCGCAGAGGGUGUCGUCGGGAGAAGUGGGCAGACAGAACUGUGGCCUGUUUCUGCAGCUUUCUGGAAGUCUGAAAUUAUUUCAGAAUCGUUUAAAAAAAUGUUUUGUGCU